rnacentral:misc_RNA from 1 species
CACCCGUGUGCCACAGUCCCGCAAUUUAAAAAAAAUGCGACCCAUAAACAAGUGAAGUGUUAGUGCAACGCUGUGGGGGAUUUUAACACAUGUGGCAAAGGGGCAUAAGGUUCGAUACGGCGUGGCACAAGCCGGGGUAGUUUGCAACGUGUUUAGACGUCUUUGUGCUUCGGAAUGAUAAGGUGGCCUCGUGACAUGUGACGCGGGUCUGUGAGCGGCAUGCGGGUCGCACGCUCCGAGCGGGCCGGUGUCUCGCUGGCCGCGCUCGCUUUACUACUGCUAUGGCCGCUCUGUACCGCCGAGGAUACCACCACCGCUGCUCCGUUCAAUGCAGCAACACGCGGCACGUCGAUGUACGGCGACGGUUGCUCCAUCACCAACGACUGUGGCUUCGCCGACUCCAUCUGCGACGAGAGCCUCAAGACCUGCCACUGCCACCCUGACAAGCCGGCUACCAAUUACGUGGACAAAUGUGGAAAACCGUCCAGCAUAAACGAGUCAUGCACGUUCAACGAGCAGUGCGAGGAGGCGGUGAUCAUGACGGAAUGCCGCAACGACCGCUGCGCGUGCAAGUACGAGAUGGUUGCCGAGGCCACUGUGGACGGAGGCGUGGUGUGUCAACCGGAAAAACAAGUGGAACUGUCGACGAAAACAAUCGACCCUGCGAUGAUUGGCGUACUUGUCGGCAUGGCGCUGAUGUUCGUCAUUAUCUGUGUCGUGCUGCGGCUCUUUAGCAGAGCCCGAUGGAGAGAGAAUCGUACAAUCUUCAACACGCCCAAUCCUCGACUGAUGAAUGUUUCAUUGCUGAGGGACUCCAAGCUGCUGCAUUCUCAGGACCGCCGCGGGUCCCGAGUGAGCAUGCGCCCGCCAUCAAGACAGGCUAGCCAGCAGGAGCUCAGACCGCACUCACCUAGUCCAGGUAUUUAGACUCAUAGCACGCCAUCACCAAAGCCAUCAGCUUCACCGAAAACCCUCAGGGUCUCGGCGUGGAUCAAGAGCCAGCAGUGGGCAUUCAGCGACCUCUCUCAGGUCCGCCACUCUUCGAUCGCCAACCACUCCUGG